CGCGUAGGCGGCCCCGCAAGUCACUUGUGAAAUCUCUGGGCUUAACCCAGAACGGCCAAGUGAAACUGCAGGGCUAGAGUGUAGAAGGGGCAAUCGGAAUUCUUGGUGUAGCGGUGAAAUGCGUAGAUAUCAAGAGGAACACCUGAGGUGAAGACGGGUUGCUGGUCUAACACUGACGCUGAGGCGCGAAAGCCAGGGGAGCAAACG
rnacentral:rRNA from 1 species